UGUAAUCCCAGCUGCCUGGGGGGCUGUGGUGGGAGGAUCACCUGAGCCUAGGAGAUCAAGGCUUCAAUAAGCAGAGAAGGUACUGCUGUACUCCAGCCUGGGUGACACAGCAAAUCCCUGUGUCAGAAAGGAAAUGAAAGGAAAGAAAAGGAAAGGAAAGGGAAGGGAAGGGAAAAAAUGAGAGUAGCCACAUGAUUCUGUCAUUUAAAUCUCACAGGGUAACAGAAGCAAAUCAUCAGUGCCUGUCUUUGAACUUGAUGAAACUGUCUCAGCCUCAUGACCUGUGGUACUAGACAGAGACCACAACACCUUGUCUAUCCAGAGUGUGGGAGCACUGUGUGCAGUUAGCUCCUGGAGGCUUGUCCUCAGUAGGCUUAGGGCAUGAGGAGCCCUGGAAAGCCCAGGACCCCAUGGAGGGCCCUGGAGAAACAGCACCUGUGGCUGAGGGGUUCACAGGCCCAGCGAGAUCCACUCAGGUGAGGUCACCUGUAGAGGUCAUGCUGCGGAGUCCCGAGUCCCUGAUUAUAUUCAAGACGUGGAGCUCUCUUUUUCCCGUCCUGCUUUCUUUCCAGAAGUGCCUCAGAUGCAUCCUCCCCUUCUCUUUUCUCCACAUGAAGACGUCACUGACCAUCUUCUCUGGUUUGCUUUCCAACACCGAGCACCAAGUGCUUCAAAGGUCAUGGUGCCCUGGGGCCGAGAGCUACUUAUGUGGGCAUUUAUAACCAAAUAAAUAUUGAAAUGGCCCACAAAGCAAAUGUUAGUGGUAACCAACAGCGGUAAAACUGGGUACAUGGGACCCUGAACCUUCUUGAAUAUUCCCCAUGAGACCCUGGGCCGACCUUCGGGCUUUCCAGUGUGCUCAGAAAAUCCUCCGUGGCUCCCAGCCCCAGCUUAGUCUUUCAACGGUCCUCGGACUGAAGCAAGAGACAGGGAAGGAAUUGUCCAAGGUUUUCCAGCAUGCUGAGAACACUUACCAUGGUGGAGCCUGGCACGUACUGGCUCUUUGAUGCAUGUGUAUUGGUCUCAAGUAGCCAGAAGCAUCUCCUCUGAGAGCCCUUGCCCUCCAGUUUAAAUGGCAAAUGGAAGGGAAUGGGUUCUGGAAGGCCCCAGGUGGGCUGGGGUGGGUUCUGGAGACCAUCUUCCAACUCCUGUUCAGGAGGAGGGUUGGUCAGAUCAGCUCUGUGGCCACCUGGGCUCUGGAGGGGCGAGAUACGGGCAGGUGCGGCCACAGGAGGGAGAGCACCAUGUGCGGGGGAAGCCCACAGCUGGAACCAAAAGGCCCCAGGAGGGAUCCUGGCUCUGACAUCUCCCAGCCGUGUGGCCUUGGGCAAGGUCCCUGACUUGGACCUCAGCCUCCUCAUCUGUAAAACAGGCAGAACAGUAAUACCGACCUUGUAGGUUGUAUAGAGUUCAUAUACAUCAAGCACUUACCACAGUGCCUGGCGGACCGCAUGCCCUAAACACACAAUCCGUGAAAUGAAUCCAUCAGCAAGCAGCUGCUAGGGGCAGUGUGGGGCAGAGAGGCAGCUGCCUGCUGGAACUGGCUGACAGGAGGAUGAGUGUGUGGCAGGAGGAACGCUCUGCACAGAGGACACUAGGUAGCGUCACCUGUCUCUUACCCUGUGUCUCCACUGGAAUGGAAUGUCAGACUCGCACCAUGCAUUCCUUUCCCUGCCAAAACGCCUCCUCUUAGCAGUGAGCAAGAAAGUUGUUCGAGUGGAUGAAGCCAAAAGCCCAUUUGGCAAGAGUGCUGUUUUGGAAAAUGCUUAGCGGUGUGGGUUGGGAUGAGGUUUUCUGUGCCUUUCCAUUAUUUCUUCAGCUUCAUGUAACCCUGACUGAGCAAUGCUCAGCAGAGUGAAGGCUGGGCAGCAGAUGGACAAGAUUUUCUCAAACUCCUUUUUAAGCCAAUUUCAAAAUAGAGAGAGGGAAAAAUCCUUGUUUUCUCUUUUCGGUUUUGAGAGGUUUCAUAUGCAGACACAAUUUUAAAUUUUAUUUUUUUUGCCCCCAAUGAGAUGUUUGGAGAUGGUGGUACUAGAACAGGAAGGAAUUUAUAAGUAUUGGGGAAUUUUUCAUCCCAAUUCCCAUAUCCUCCUAUAAUUCAAGGAGUGAAUGGGUAGUGUUUUUGUUUUUGUGAGAGGGGUGGCGGAGGGUAGAGAGAGAAAGAGAGAGAGACAGAGAGAGAUUACAUAGAGGUGUCCAAAAUGAACACAGUAAAAACCAGUUUUGAUUAAUUCUGCAAUAUUAAGUAGGCAGCCAAAAAUUUUGGUCUGCUUAAUUCUUAGCUCAUCUAAGUCUCCAGUUGACUGAUUGAUUGAUUGAAUGACUUAUUCAACAUGCGCUAGCCAGACACUGGUCUAGGGCCCAGGAAUUCAGCAAUAAAUGAAACAAGACCAAAAAAA
rnacentral:lncRNA from 1 species